rnacentral:rRNA from 1 species
GACGAACGCUGGCGGCAGGCUUAACACAUGCAAGUCGAGCGGGGGAAGGUAGCUUGCUACCGGACCUAGCGGCGGACGGGUGAGUAAUGCUUAGGAAUCUGCCUAUUAGUGGGGGACAACAUCUCGAAAGGGAUGCUAAUACCGCAUACGUCCUACGGGAGAAAGCAGGGGAUCUUCGGACCUUGCGCUAAUAGAUGAGCCUAAGUCGGAUUAGCUAGUUGGUGGGGUAAAGGCCUACCAAGGCGACGAUCUGUAGCGGGUCUGAGAGGAUGAUCCGCCACACUGGGACUGAGACACGGCCCAGACUCCUACGGGAGGCAGCAGUGGGGAAUAUUGGACAAUGGGGGGAACCCUGAUCCAGCCAUGCCGCGUGUGUGAAGGAGGCCUUAUGGUUGUAAAGCACUUUAAGCGAGGAGGAGGCUACUUUAGUUAAUGCCUAGAGAUAGUGGACGUUACUCGCAGAAUAAGCACCGGCUAACUCCGUGCCAGCCGCCGCCGUAACAC